CAUAAUGAUGACGAGUAGGGCGAGGCACGUGAAACCUUGUCUGAAUAUGGGGGGACCAUCCUCCAAGGCUAAAUACUCCUGACUGACCGAUAGUGAACCAGUACCGUGAGGGAAAGGCGAAAAGAACCCCUGUGAGGGGAGUGAAAUAGAUCCUGAAACCGCAUGCAUACAAGCAGUGGGAGCACCUUCGUGGUGUGACUGCGUACCUUUUGUAUAAUGGGUCAGCGACUUAUAUUCAGUAGCGAGGUUAACCGUAUAGGGGAGCCGUAGAGAAAUCGAGUCUUAAUAGGGCGUUUAGUUGCUGGGUAUAGACCCGAAACCAGGCGAUCUAUCCAUGAGCAGGUUGAAGGUUGGGUAACACUAACUGGAGGACCGAACCCACUGUCGUUGAAAAGCCAGGGGAUGACUUGUGGAUAGGGGUGAAAGGCUAAUCAAGCCUGGUGAUAGCUGGUUCUCCCCGAAAGCUAUUUAGGUAGCGCCUCGGACGAAUACCAUAGGGGGUAGAGCACUGUUUCGGCUAGGGGGUCAUCCCGACUUACCAAACCGAUGCAAACUCCGAAUACCUAUGAGUACUAUCCGGGAGACAGACUGCGGGUGCUAACGUCCGUAGUCAAGAGGAAAACAAUCCAGACCGCCAGCUAAGGCCCCAAAAUCAUAGUUAAGUGGGAAACGAUGUGGGAAGGCAUAGACAGCUAGGAGGUUGGCUUAGAAGCAGCCACCCUUUAAAGAAAGCGUAAUAGCUCACUAGUCGAGUCGGCCUGCGCGGAAGAUGUAACGGGGCUAAAACUAUGUGCCGAAGCUGCGGAUGUAUACUUUGUAUACGUGGUAGGGGAGCGUUCUGUAAGCCGAUGAAGGUGUGUUGAGAAGCAUGCUGGAGGUAUCAGAAGUGCGAAUGCUGACGUGAGUAACGACAAAACGGGUGAAAAACCCGUUCGCCGAAAGACCAAGGGUUCCAGUCCAACGUUAAUCGGGGCUGGGUGAGUCGACCCCUAAGGCGAGGCCGAAAGGCGUAGUCGAUGGGAAAAUGGUUAAUAUUCCAUUACUUCUGUGUAAUGCGAUGAGAGGACGGAGAAGGCUAAAUCAGCCUGGCGUUGGUUGUCCAGGUGAAAGGAUGUAGGCAUGUAUCUUAGGCAAAUCCGGGGUACUCUAUGCUGAGAUCUGAUAGCAAGCUGUACUUGUACAGCGAAGUGGUUGAUGCCAUGCUUCCAGGAAAAGUCUCUAAGCUUCAGUUACACAGGAAUCGUACCCGAAACCGACACAGGUGGUCAGGUCGAGUAGACCAAGGCGCUUGAGAGAACUCUGCUGAAGGAACUAGGCAAAAUGGUACCGUAACUUCGGGAGAAGGUACGCUGUUGUUGGUGAUGGAACUCGCUUCCUGAGCUGACGACAGCCGCAGAAACCAGGCCGCUGCAACUGUUUAUUAAAAACAUAGCACUCUGCAAACACGAAAGUGGACGUAUAGGGUGUGAUGCCUGCCCGGUGCUGGAAGGUUAAUUGAUGGGGUUAGCGUAAGCGAAGCUCUUGAUCGAAGCCCCAGUAAACGGCGGCCGUAACUAUAACGGUCCUAAG
rnacentral:rRNA from 1 species